GACGAACGCUGGCGGCGUGCUUAACACAUGCAAGUCGAACGAUGAAGCCGGAGCUUGCUCUGGUGAAUUAGUGGCGAACGGGUGAGUAACACGUGAGUAACCUGCCCUUGACUCUGGGAUAACUGCUAGAAAUGGUAGCUAAUACCGGAUACGACCCUCGGAGGCAUCUUCAGGGGGUGGAAAGAAUUUGGGUCAAGGAUGGACUCGCGGCCUAUCAGCUAGUUGGUGAGGUAAUGGCUCACCGAGGCGACGACGGGUAGCCGGCCUGGGAGGGUGACCGGCCACACUGGGACUGAGACGCGGCCCAGACUCCUACGGGAGGCAGCAGUGGGGAAUAUUGCACAAUGGGCGCAAGCCUGAUGCAGCAACGCCGCGUGAGGGAUGACGGCCUUCGGGUUGUAAACCUCUUUUAGUAGGGAAGAAGCGAAAGUGACGGUACCUGCAGAAAAAGCACCGGCUAACUACGUGCCAGCAGCCGCAGUAA
rnacentral:rRNA from 1 species